AACCCAUGGUGAGGGCAUCUUCUCAGUAAGUCUUUGUAUCUCUCCCAUGCAUCGUAAAGUGUGUCUAAAUCUAUCUGCACAAAAGAAGAGAUAUCAUUACAUAAUUU
rfam:Gossypium arboreum cultivar AKA8401 contig_41833_3, whole genome shotgun sequence.